GAUGAACGCUGGCGGCGUGCCUAAUACAUGCCAGUCGAGCGAACGGACGAGAAGCUUGCUUCUCUGAUGUUAGCGGCGGACGGGUGAGUAACACGUGGAUAACCUACCUAUAAGACUGGGAUAACUUCGGGAAACCGUAGCUAAUACCGGAUAAUAUUUUGAACCGCAUGGUUCAAAAGUGAAAGACGGUCUUGCUGUCACUUAUAGAUGGAUCCGCGCUGCAUUAGCUAGUUGGUAAGGCAACGGCUUACCAAGGCAACGAUGCAUAGCCGACCUGAGAGGGUGAUCGGCCACACUGGAACUGAGACACGGUCCAGACUCCUACGGGAGGCAGCAGUAGGGAAUCUUCCGCAAUGGGCGAAAGCCUGACGGAGCAACGCCGCGUGAGUGAUGAAGGUCUUCGGAUCGUAAAACUCUGUUAUUAGGGAAGAACAUAUGUGUAAGUAACUGUGCACAUCUUGACGGUACCUAAUCAGAAAGCCACGGCUAACUACGUG
rnacentral:rRNA from 1 species